rnacentral:pre_miRNA from 13 species
UAUUCAAAGGACCCCCUUGUUAAGUAGUGGUGCCGCUCUUAUUAGAUGAGAUAGUAAUAAGAGUUGCUCACUACUUAUCAAGGUGAGUUUUGAUGUUU